rnacentral:rRNA from 1 species
AGAGUUUGAUCAUGGCUCAGGAUGAACGCUAGCGGCAGGCUUAAUACAUGCAAGUCGAGGGGCAGCGGGGUAGCAAUACCGCCGGCGACCGGCAAACGGGUGCGGAACACGUACACAACCUUCCUUUCGGUGGGAGAUAGCCCAGAGAAAUUUGGAUUAAUACCCCAUAAUAUAUUUUGAUUGCAUAAUCGGGAUAUUAAAGAUUUAUUGCCGGAAGAUGGGUGUGCGUAUGAUUAGGUAGUUGGUUGAGGUAACGGCUCACCAAGCCUUCGAUCAUUAACUGGUGUGAGAGCACGACCAGUCACACGGGCACUGAGACACGGGCCCGACUCCUACGGGAGGCAGCAGUAAGGAAUAUUGGUCAAUGGACGCAAGUCUGAACCAGCCAUGCCGCGUGAAGGAUGACGGCCCUCUGGGUUGUAAACUUCUUUUAUGUGGGACGAAAAAAGGGAAUUUUUUCCCGUCUGACGGUACCAUAUGAAUAAGCACCGGCUAACUCCGUGCCAGCAGCCGCGGUAAUACGGAGGGUGCAAGCGUUAUCCGGAUUCACUGGGUUUAAAGGGAGCGCAGGCGGAUUGGUAAGUCAGUGGUGAAAGGCUUGAGCUUAACUCGGGAACUGCCAUUGAUACUAUCAGUCUUGAAUAUUGUUGAGGUUUGCGGAAUGGGUCAUGUAGCGGUGAAAUGCAUAGAUAUGACCCGGAACACCUAUUGCGAAGGCAGCAGGCUAAACAAAGAUUGACGCUGAGGCUCGAAAGCGUGGGGAUCAAACAGGAUUAGAUACCCUAGUAGUCC